GAACGCAUAUUGCGCCCUCUGGUAUUCCGGAGGGCAUGCCUGUCCGAGCGUCAUUACUACCUUCAAGCACGGCUUGGUUGUUGAGUCAAUUGUCCUUUAAUGGACAGGCUUGAAAUGCAGUGGCGAUGCUGAGUCCUGGUGCUCGAGCGUAUGGAGCUUUGUCACACGCUUUAGUGGCCCAGCCGGCAUUCUGUCGAUUAAAUCACAAAAAAAAACUAAGAUUUAACCUCGGAUCAGGUAAGGAUACCCGCGGAACUUA
rnacentral:misc_RNA from 1 species